rnacentral:misc_RNA from 1 species
UCGUUGUGUGAUGUGAUUUAGAAUUUAAGUUUGCUGGCAGACCCUAGCUUCUUAUCAUUCCAGUUCUCAAUCAAUUGAGAUGAGGUUGAUAGGACGCUGGGCUCACUGUAAUUCGCAAGAAUUGCAGAGAUGUUCAGCAGAACCUUGACAACUGCAUAGGUAAGUCUGGAAAGAAUAAAGCAUCUCAUGGAUGCAUGAUUCUUGGGAAUCAGCUGAUGCAAUCUGCGCGAGCAGAGAGCUGAGGUUGAUCAACGAGAAUGAUGUUUGAUUCUUGAGUCAAGAGCCGAGACUCUAUAGCGUUCUUUCGAUGUCAUCGAGUCAUUGAGAGUUUGAUUGGUGAUUCAAACCAUCUUUAAUGACAAACAAUUCAGUUUAACU